UAGCUAGUUGGCGGUGUAAUGGCCGACUGUAGGCGACGAUGUAGCUGGUCUGAGAGGUGAUCAGCACACUGGAACUGAGACUCGUUCCCAGACUUACUACGGGAGGCAGCAGUUUGGAAUUUAUGCGCAAUGGGGGAAACCACUGACGCAGCAACGUGCGCGUGAAGUGAUGAAGGCCUUCGGGUCGUAAAGCUCUGUCAGAGGGAAAGAAGUGUGGGUGAGGCUAAUACCCUUUUCACUUGACGUACCCUCAAAGGAAGCACCGGCUACUCCGUGCCAGCAGCCGCGGUAAUACGGAGGGUGCGAGCGUUGUUCGGAAUUAUUCUGCGUAAAGCGCGUGUAGGCGGUUUUAGUCUGAUGUGAAAGCCCUGGGCUCAAGGCCGGUAAGUGCAUUGGAAACUGGGAGACUUGAAUACGGGAGAGGGUAGUGGAAUUCCUGGUGUAGGAGUGAAAUCCGUAGAUAUCAGGAGGAUUCACCGGUGGCGAAGGCGGCAAGCCUGGACCGAUAUUGACGCUGAGACGCGAAAGCGUGGGGAGCAAACAGGAUUAGAUACCCUGGUAGUCCACGCGGUAAACGAUGAGUACUAGGUGUCGCGGGUAUUGACCCCUGCGGUGCCGCAGCUAACGCAUUAAGUACUCCGCCUGGGAAGUACGGCCGCAAGGCUAAAACUCAAAGAAUUGACGGGGGCCGCACAAGCGGUGGAGCAUGUGGUUUAAUUCGACGCAACGCGCAGAACCUUACGUGGGCUUGACAUCCGCGGAACCUCUAUGAUUAGCAUGGUGCCUUCGGGAGCCGCGAGACAGGUGCUGCAUGGCGUCGUCAGCUCGUGUCGUGAGAUGUUGGGUUAAGUCCCGCACGAGCGCAACCCUC
rnacentral:rRNA from 1 species